GACGUAGGGUGCAAGCGUUGUCCGGAUUUAUUGGGCGUAAAGAGCUCGUAGGCGGCUCGUCGCGUCGACUGUGAAAACUCGGGGCUUAACCCUGGGCUUGCAGUCGAUACGGGCGGGCUAGAGUUCGGUAGGGGAGACUGGAAUUCCUGGUGUAGCGGUGAAAUGCGCAGAUAUCAGGAGGAACACCGGUGGCGAAGGCGGGUCUCUGGGCCGAUACUGACGCUGAGGAGCGAAAGCGUGGGGAGCGAACAGG
rnacentral:rRNA from 1 species